AAUAGCAGACGUUUUUCGUUGAGACCAUGAUCUUAUAAAAUGUAUUUAAAGACGCACGAAAUUGUGUUUUAUAUUUCAUUUAUUGAAAUCGUCUCAGCUUUGAUGAAUGGUAAAUUAAAUCUUCCAGAUAAUUUAUCGAAAGAACUCUACUGUGCAGGAUGUGAGGAAACUGUUAAAGCAUUGGACAAGAUGUUGAGUCCUCGUAAUAGUGAUACAUAUGAUGUCCGGGUCCUGGAAGCAUUGAGCAUGAUCUGUGAAAAAAAUACCUUCAAAUCAUCAGAAUAUUCUCCUCAUUAUAUGAGUAUAGCAUGUAGUCAUAUGUUAGAAGUACAUGAUGAUGUUUUAGAUCCAUUUCUUGUCAGUCAUUAUAGUAGAAUUAACAGAAACGGUUUUUCUGAAUUGUUAGAACAAGUCUGUAAAGGACUUUCAUCUGCAUGUACAAAAGUUAGUCGAAGCAAAAUGGAAAAAUUAAAGAAACGAGAUGUUCGUAUCAAGGAUGAUGGAUCAGUGGACCUUAAUGAAGGAAAUUGGAAAAGACCAAACCCAGCCCAUGAAACCAGAGAUGAGUUUUAGAAUAAGCUAUUUACAAGACAAAUUUUUAGCAAAUGUCGAUAAGAACAAUUCAUUUUAAGAAUGUGUAUACACUUUCAGUAGAUUUGAUAGGAAAAGUGGAUUUAACAAAUUUGUAUAAUAAAGUUAUUAAAACUCUAUGCAAUAUGCUUUCAAAUAAGCAAGAGAAUCUCAGUGAAAUUGACAAAUACCCCUCACUCCCUCCCUUUACCCAUGUCAAAAUUCUUUUCUAGAUAUAGCUGUAGUUAGUGAAUAUAUUAUCUUUCAUGAAACUGACACAGGUUUUAUGUUUAAUAAUUGUAUAAAUGAAGGUCAGGGAUCAGAGUUAUCACUUCAAAAUUUUGGCAGUUGGUCAAUUCUUGGAAUAUUUUGUCCAAAGAAAAUGAUAGUUUUCUUUUAGCAAUACCCAAAUUUGUUGUAUAUUUUUUAAGUGUUUUUACAAGUAUAAACCACAAAUUUAACUGUAUUUUUUGAUUUUUGAAAUUCAGGGGAUGGGGGGAAUGGUCUAGUGAUUUGAUGUGUGCAUGUGAAAUCACAAGGUCUGUCAUUGAGUCAAGUUUCUUCUAGAGUUAUGGCCCUUGUUUCACCUGGUGAACGCUCUAACAACAAAAAGUUAAUAUCCGAUCUGUAUGAAAUUUAUAUGCAUCAUUCAAAUUAGUGAAACGAAGAAUUAUAUUGAAUUUCAACAAUUUCUGUCAAUUACGUCAAGGGUUAUGGUUCUUGUUUUACUUUGUUGAACCAUGUGAACAUUCGAAUGAUAAAAGUUAUCCAAUCUGUACAAAAUUUAUAUGCAUUAUUUAAAUUUGUCGAAUUUAAACAAUUUCUGAACAUUAAUUUCAAGAGUUAAUUUCUUGUUUCAGUUUGUAGAACCUUGUGAACCCUCAAACGACAAAAAUUAUAAUCUGAUCUGUAUGAAAUUGUCUUGUAAGUGCCCCAAAUUACCAACAAAAGAAUAAAUAUGCAACAACCCUUGUCGACCGCUCGGACGAUGUUUUAUUUUAUAGGCUAUACUAUAUAUUGUGUGUUUCUACUUGACAAGCUCUACAGUCAUUUAUAUCACUGUUUUUUUUUCUUCGUAUUUAUUAAGAAUUUAUAAUAGUAUUAUUUUAUAGGGUAUGAUGUGAUAUUUUUUGAGUUUAUAAUAUGUUCUAUAUUUUACAUGUAUUGUAAUAACCUGUACAAAUAAUAAACAGAUAUAAAUCUGA